UACGUAGGGUGCGAGCGUUGCCCGGAUUUAUUGGGCGUAAAGGGCGCGUAGGCGGCCACGCACGUCCGUUGUGAAAUCGCCCCGGCUCAACUGGGCGGGGUCAGCGGAUACGGUGUGGCUAGAGCAAGCUAGGGGGCAAUGGAAUUCCCGGUGUAGUGGUGGAAUGCGUAGAUAUCGGGAGGAACACCAGUGGCGAAGGCGGUUGCCUGGAGCUUUGCUGACGCUGAUGCGCGAAAGCGUGGGGAGCG
rnacentral:rRNA from 1 species